ACACAAUGAUACUUAGAGAAACACCAAACCAAUGAAUCAUUACUCAACCCUUCCUUAUGAAAUGCAGGUACAAAGAGAUGAGAAGAGGAAGACCCCCACUAAACCGAGUAGCUUGGGAUGGUUCGCUUCGGGUAGACGUUGACAAGAUAUUUGAGAUGCUGGAGAGACUCAUUGCUGCCCAGCAGGGUCGAGAAGAGAUAAGGGAGCUACCCGACCCUCCCCCGCUGCCAUAGGUUGAGCC
rnacentral:lncRNA from 1 species